CAAAUAUGGCCUUGGUCAAGCUGGACCCUUGAGAGAGUCUUCUCAUGCUGUCAAUAGAAGCAAAUACUACAGAGCAGAAGAGAGCUAACUGUCCCUUUGAUGCUGUAAAUGAUGACAGUGAAGAAAUCAGAGUGGGUAUAGCUGUGAACAUGGGCCAUAAAAGGCUGCAGCCACUGCCGGGAGCUUACUUUAGAAACUCACAGGGCAGAUCUCCAAGAUCACAGUGUCUGCCAGGCAGAAGAUGGUGAAAGCAUGAAACAGCCACAACCUUCUUCCAUGAGGGCAUGAGGCAAGAUGGUUAGAGACCGCAGAUGGCUCUUAUAUGAUGUUCAGUUUUGGGAAAUGAUAUGUCAGCCCCAUUGUCCAAGAUAUUUAACCGUCAAGAGAAGUAACAAUGCUCAUCAAGUAAUAUUAUGACAGACUGUAAGACAAUAAAAUGAAAUAAGUAUGGGGUGUAUGGGCUUUAUUUUAAGUGAAUGUGGAAAUUUAUAAUCUCCG
ensembl:lncRNA